GUGCUCAUUUUGGCAGCUCAUAUACUAAAACUGGAAUAAUAUGAAGAUUAGCUUGUCCGUUUGCAAGGAUGACAUGAAAAUUCAUGAAUCAUUCCAAACGCACA
rnacentral:snRNA from 1 species